rnacentral:rRNA from 1 species
UACGGGGGGAGCAAGCGUUGUUCGGAUUUACUGGGCGUAAAGGGCGCGUAGGCGGCCACCGCAAGUCAGUUGUGAAAUCUCUGGGCUUAACCCAGAAAGGUCAACUGAUACUGCGGGGCUAGAGUGCAGAAGGGGCAACUGGAAUUCUCGGUGUAGCGGUGAAAUGCGUAGAUAUCUGGAGGAACACCGGUGGCGAAGGCGACAUCCUGGACCGGCAUUGACGCUGAGGCGCGAAAGCCAGGGGAGCAAACGGG